AUUGAACGCUGGCGGCAUGCUUUACACAUGCAAGUCGAACGGUAACAGGCCUUCGGGUGCUGACGAGUGGCGAACGGGUGAGUAAUUCAUCGGAACGUGCCCAGAGGUGGGGGAUAACGCAGCGAAAGCUGUGCUAAUACCGCAUGUGAUCUGAGGAUGAAAGCGGUGGACCAGGCAGCAAUGUUUGGCCUCGCGCCUUUGGAGCGGCCGAUGUCAGAUUAGGUAGUUGGUGGGGUAAAGGCCUACCAAGCCGACGAUCUGUAGCUGGUCUGAGAGGACGACCGGCCACACUGGGAGUGAGACACGGCCCAGACUCCUACGGGAGGCAGCAGUGGGGAAUUUUGGACAAUGGGCGCAAGCCUGAUCCAGCAAUGCCGCGUGCGGGAAGAAGGCGUUGGGGUUGUAAAGCGCUUUUGUACGGAACGAAAAGGCUCUGGCUAAUACCUGGGGCUGAUGACGGUACCGUAAGAAGAAGCACCGGCUAACUACGUG
rnacentral:rRNA from 1 species